AACGAAAUGCACGUGAGAAAGCGGGCGAUGGAAUGGUUGCUCGAGCGUUUAUGUUGAAUUGGGGUACACCAGUGCAAAAUAUAGUUUGCGGUUCUACGCCCCCUUGCCAACGGGAGCCCCUCCAAGGCCCUUGGCAACUGCACCUAGCAAUGGGAGUGACAUCCCAGCAUUCAUGACCUGUAAAAGAUAUGAAAAGGGUUUAAUGUCCUGGCAACAGCCAGGGGCAUGUAAGGAUGGAUGUGAAGAGAGACAUUAAGGCUAGAAAACAAAAAACAGGAAGAAAGAGCAGACAGGAAAAAAAGGGAAAUAUCAAGAUCCAAAAUAUCACUAUAUGAAGACAGCAGAUGUGUUCCCUUGGUAGAGGACAUGGAAAAGAGCCCAGAUUCUGUAGAGAGCUAACAAUCAGACAGAGAAAUACAUGCAGCAGACCAUAUUCUUGGGCCCUCUGAUGUCCAAUAACAGAAUAUGCUGUAUGAAGUAUAAGUCAAGUUCAACUGAAGAGGUUAUAUGUCUUCUAACAAAACAAACACUGUGGAGUAUCCCUUUCAUUUCUUUAACAAGAACAAAUAAAGUAAUUCAACAUAUCACAGUCCCCAGCAAAUUUGAGAAUAUAUGUAAAAUGAAAUUUUCCUUGAUGUAAAGGUCAAACUGUAGGUAAGUGUGACCUGUUUU